GUCAGCAAAUGGCACGUUUAACCCAGUCCUCACUCCGAAGGGCCCAUUAACAUAUGAAUCCCCCUCUUAGGGACUCUCCUUGCACUUCGCAGGGAGUCCGGCCACUUAGCGCAGGGGAUUUAUUUUUAUCGGUAAAUAACAGCGAAAGAGAAGGGGCCGGGGUCAUGGGAUACGCUGAAUCCACUACGUGAAGAAGAGAUUUCUGUAAACGGGAUAAGCAGGGACGUUGGGGAUUCGCUGCUCUAUUCUCAGCACCUGGAACCAUCCCUGGCGCGCAGCAGACAAGCUCAAUAAACAUGAGCUACGUGAACAAGGGAGUUGUGGACAGUCUUCUCAGGCCCUCACACACCUUACUUGUACAACUGUGGUCUCUUCAGCCUGGAGUUGCUGCUGAAUCAUGGAGGGGUGAAGGCCACGGAGCUCCCCUCUUUUGUUUAGGGAUCGACACACAGGCCUGGAAUAUUGGGCACGUCGCCUGGCACGCACGGGAUUCUCAGGAAAUAUUUGCUGAGUGUCUUGCUCACAUUGGAUUCUCCACAGAACCUGACACAGGCCUUGCACAGACUAAACUAAAUACUCCUUUUUAUACCUCAACGACCAGUCUGUUGAUUGUUUUUAUUUUUUAUUUAGAUUUUUUUCUAAGUGUGCCAACUAAUUUGAGGUUAAAUUUUCCAGGUUGUUUUUUUUUUUUUUUUUUU